rnacentral:rRNA from 1 species
GGUUAAGCGACUAAGCGUACACGGUGGAUGCCCUGGCAGUCAGAGGCGAUGAAGGGCGUGCUAAUCUGCGAUAAGCGCCGGUAAGGUGAUAUGAACCGUUAUAACCGGCGAUACCCGAAUGGGGAAACCCAGUGUGAUUCGUCACACUAUCAUUAACUGAAUCCAUAGGUUAAUGAGGCGAACCGGGGGAACUGAAACAUCUAAGUACCCCGAGGAAAAGAAAUCAACCGAGAUUCCCCCAGUAGCGGCGAGCGAACGGGGAGGAGCCCAGAGCCUGAAUCAGCAUGUGUGUUAGUGGAAGCGUCUGGAAAGGCGCGCGAUACAGGGUGACAGCCCCGUACACAAAAGCGCAUAUGCUGUGAGCUCGAUGAGUAGGGCGGGACACGUGGUAUCCUGUCUGAAUAUGGGGGGACCAUCCUCCAAGGCUAAAUACUCCUGACUGACCGAUAGUGAACCAGUACCGUGAGGGAAAGGCGAAAAGAACCCCGGCGAGGGGAGUGAAAAAGAACCUGAAACCGUGUACGUACAAGCAGUGGGAGCCCCACCACUAAGCCAGUGGUGAACUCCACAUACGCAUCCUUUGCUGAGGAUACGGU